CCGUGGUUAGCUCAGUUGGUAGAGCGCUCCACUGGAAAUGGAGAGGUCCCGGGUUCGAUAACCGGACAAGGGA
rnacentral:tRNA from 2 species